CUGCGGUCCAGCGCAACUUUCUGCAGCGUCAGGUUAUGAAUCACUCAUCAAAUCCGUGUCUGAUUCCAGGCCGGGCUGGGUGCAUGGGGGAGGGGGGCAUGCAUUCCACUCCCAGCUCAGGGGGCCGUGUGGGCUGGGCUGGACCAGUUUCUCCUGACUCUGAGUCCCCAGGGGUCAUCUCUAGAAAUGCCCAGACUGGGUUAGGUCUCAUCUACUGCUCCAGGCCCUCCACACAGAUGAGCUCCUUGAGGCCUCAGAAUGACCAGAUGCUUGAGGGCUUGGGACCAAGAACAUUUGAGGUUUCCUGACUUUGAAGAAAUCAUCAACACAGAUACGGACAGAACAGGCAUUUUUAAGAACAAGAAAAUCUUGAAGAGAGGAUGGGAAGCAAAGACCAGACUCCCAAGUGAAUAAAGCCAUCUGUGCUUCUCUCUAAA